GACGAACGCUGGCGGCGUGCUUAACACAUGCAAGUCGAACGGAAAGGCCCUGCUUUUGUGGGGUGCUCGAGUGGCGAACGGGUGAGUAACACGUGAGUAACCUGCCCUUGACUUUGGGAUAACUUCAGGAAACUGGGGCUAAUACCGGAUAGGAGCUCCUGCUGCAUGGUGGGGGUUGGAAAGUUUCGGCGGUUGGGGAUGGACUCGCGGCUUAUCAGCUUGUUGGUGGGGUAGUGGCUUACCAAGGCUUAGACGGGUAGCCGGCCUGAGAGGGUGACCGGCCACAUGGGGACUGAGAUACGGCCCAGACUCGUACGGGAGGCAGCAGUGGGGAAUAUUGCACAAUGGGCGGAAGCCUGAUGCAGCAACGCCGCGUGCGGGAUGACGGCCUUCGGGUUGUAAACCGCUUUCGCCUGUGACGAAGCGUGAGUGACGGUAAUGGGUAAAGAAGCACCGGCUAACUACGUG
rnacentral:rRNA from 1 species